CCUACGGGAGGCAGCAGUGGGGAAUAUUGGACAAUGGGCGAAAGCCUGAUCCAGCAAUGCCGCGUGAGUGAUGAAGGCCUUAGGGUUGUAAAGCUCUUUUACCAGGGAUGAUAAGACGGUACCUGAGAUAAGUNCNGGNC
rnacentral:rRNA from 1 species